GAUUUUUCUGGCUGCUGUUCUCCAGUAAGCUCUCUAUUUUUUUUUGGUAAGAAAGUAAGCUCUCUAUUUUAAUUGGGGUCCGAAAAGCUACGUCAAAGCAUUAUUUACACGGCAAUAGAGUAUUCUUCCCCGGAACAGGGCCGCGGGGCUGGCAAUGGACUUGGAACAGUAUCUAAAGCAGGGCGCAACAGGGGGAGAUUGAGGGUGGUAGAAAUCUACCAGGAGUUCACACUUCAAAGCUUUAGCAGGGCA
rnacentral:lncRNA from 1 species